GAUCCGACCCAAUUAAUUUAUUACCCAACCCGUAAAAUAACCCAAAUAAGCCAAACCUAACCAGUAUAACAUAUCUAUAGCCUGCCCCUCUCUCUCUCUCUAAAAAAAAAAACGCAGAUCAUCUUCAACCUCUUCAAAUGGAAGCUGCAAUUGUGAUUUAAUCGUCUUCAGAUGGGUGAAGUAGUUUCCACUAUUCCAAUGAAGUCUUACAAUGUCCGAAAUUAGUUGUAAUUCAACGAAGAAGUGUCACUGUGGUGAAAUUGCUCGUUGUUUCAAUUCGAAAACACCUUCAAAUCCUGGUAGGAUAUUCUAUAAGUCUCCUAAACUUAAGGCUGAAAAUUGUGAUUUUUGGGAGUGGCAAGAUAAUUUUCUAGACAAUGCUUUAUUGGAAAUAAGUGAUUUGAAGGGUAAAUUGGAAGUGGCUACGGCGAAGAUGGACAAUUUAAGAGAGUCGUUGAAUGCGGUUAAGCUCGAAAGAGACAACUUGAAGAAAAAGGUGCAUAACUUGGAGGCUAUAAAUAACUCUCAAGUGAGCAAAUCAAGGGAAUUGGAAGAGAAGAUGUUGAAGUUGAAGAUGUUGUUUAUGAUUUCAUUGUCCGUAUUAGUUGGAUUUUUUUGUCGCUAAUUUGGGAUGAAUUAUGCUUGGUCUAGUAAUAGAAGUGAAAGGCUUGUUUUGGUAGAUGACGAUGUGUAGGAGUAGAAGUGUUUGUUUAGAAGUUGAAGUCUUGAUAUGUAAGCUAGUUUGUUGUUGUUAUUGUAUGUGUAAACUUGCUAAUUUAGUGUUGCUAAUAAGAAAUCCAUUUUUUCUCUCUGUUGGACUCAUGGGG